rnacentral:lncRNA from 1 species
AACCCCCAAGCUGACAAAGAAUUGUUCUAAAUGUUACAACAAACCUUUCUAUUUUUGUGAAUUUAGUGGGCAAAGCAAAAUUACUAGCAAAGGCCAAAGAAAGUUUACAAAAAGAUUCUCAUUUUGCCAAUUAAAGCAAAUUAACUAUAUAUUAACAAGACAAAAAUUUUCCUGGUUGGCAUAAAUUUCAGUAAAGCAAUCUGAUUAUCAAACACUUAGCUACAUAAUCUUGCCACUUAAGCACAAUCUUCUGUCGGCAAAAUAAGCUCGAACUUAUCCUUCCUUUCCAUUUUUAGUAACUGCAACUUUUUCAUUGAACGAACCAUGAUGUUCCCAUUUCUCAUUUCAAUGAAAAUUUGAUAAUGAAAAAUAGAACACAGAACCCAUUUUCAAUUUGAAGAGGAGAGGGGAGAAAAUGAGCAUACCGAGAAUGUAGAAGGGGAAGCGUAGGUGAGUGGAGUAAACAAACAAGGCAAAAGAACUGGGAAAAGCAACAGAAAUAACCCAGCAAUUGCUUCUCCCUUAAGAGGCUGAUGAUAGUCGCUCUGGUAAUGAAACCUCAUAAUCCCCCUUAAAGUUGAGAAACACAGAUCUCCAAAUUGACCACUUUCCUCAAUUUGUUUUCUUCUUUGUUGGCUUUGGUUGGCAUUGAUGGUGAAAACCACUCGAACAAACGAACACAAACAAAAUCUAAUCAACAGCUAUAAAAAAAGAGCUCAACUCAAGCACCCAACAUCACAUGAUGAAUCUCUCUCUCUUUUUCUU